AGCGGGAGCGCAAAGUGUGAUGACGCAAGCUCGCCUAGCACCCCUCGAGAUUCGUGCUCGCCGAGGCGAAGAAGACGAGGAAUCUCGACAUAACGGAGAUCGAGGCGCGGUUCUCCUUUGGAAAUGUCACCGUGGAGACGAUCACUCAUUAUCCCAGCGUGCGCAAGUUGUAUCCUCAGACCGAAAAUAAUAAAGACAACGCUGCGGACGUGCAUAUGGUCGAGCAUGUCACAUCCAUAGAUUGGAGCUGCCUGGCGUUACUCUGCGACAGCCAUAUGCUGAACAAGUCAACCAGGGCGUAUAUUCAUCCCAAGCUAUCCCCGUAUAAGUGACGAGGAUGAGAUGAUGGAGUCGGAAGUAGAAGACUUAAAUCGCUUACUACUAUACUUAAACAAUAUCCCCUUUUGAAGAAUGUUAGAGUACUAUUUCUCAUUUUAUAUAGCGGAUGUUUGUUAAAAAACCCAAAAAUGUAUUAUUUUCAAUAACAGAAAGCCAAUUUCUGCCAUUGAA